rnacentral:rRNA from 1 species
CACACCGCCCGUCGCUACUACCGAUUGAAUGGUUCAGUGAGGCGUUGGGACUGGCCUAGGGAGGUCGGCAACGACCACCCAGGGCCGGAAACUUCUCCAAACUCGAUCAUUUAGAGGAAGUAAAAGUCGUAACAAGGUCUCCGUUGGUGAACCAGCGGAGGGAUCAUUGCUGGAAUAAACGCCCUCACGGGUGCUACCCAGAAACCCUUUGUGAAUUAUACCAAACCGUUGCCUCGGCAUUAGCUGAAUCUUUUCAAGGGAUUCCCUUUUUCUUCGGAGAAAGGAGCAGGCUGGUCGGUGGCCCUAUAAACUCUUAUUGUUAAAAUAGUACUCUGAGUAAAACAACUAUAAAUGAAUCAAAACUUUCAACAACGGAUCUCUUGGUUCUGGCAUCGAUGAAGAACGCAGCGAAAUGCGAUAAGUAAUGUGAAUUGCAGAAUUCAGUGAAUCAUCGAAUCUUUGAACGCACAUUGCGCCCGCUGGUAUUCCAGCGGGCAUGCCUGUUCGAGCGUCAUUUCAACCCUCAAAGCUUCGUCUUUGGUGUUGGGGCUUUACCCGUCAAAGGGUAUGCCCUGAAAUACAGUGGCGGGCUCGCUAGAAUUUUGAGCGUAGUAAUUUAUACCUCGUUUGUAAAGACUAGUGGGACUUCUAGCCAGAAAACUCCCCCCAUUUUUUGAAAAAUUGACCUCGGAUCAGGUAGGAAUACCCGCUGAACUUAAGCAUAUCAAUAAGCGGAGGAAAAGAAACCAACAGGGAUUGCCCCAGUAACGGCGAGUGAAGCGGCAACAGCUCAAAUUUGAAAUCUGGCUUCGGCCCGAGUUGUAAUUUGCAGAGGAAGUAUUUGGCGCGGUGCCUUCCGAGUUCCCUGGAACGGGACGCCAUAGAGGGUGAGAGCCCCGUCUGGUUGGACACCAAGCCUGUGUAAUACUCCUUCGACGAGUCGAGUAGUUUGGGAAUGCUGCUCUAAAUGGGAGGUAAAUCUCUUCUAAAGCUAAAUACCGGCCAGAGACCGAUAGCGCACAAGUAGAGUGAUCGAAAGAUGAAAAGCACCUUGAAAAGGGGGUUAAACAGUACGUGAAAUUGUUGAAAGGGAAGCGUUUAUGACCAGACUUGUGCCGUGUGGCUCAUCCGGGGUUCUCCCCGGUGCACUCCACACGGUUCAGGCCAACAUCGGUUCUCGUUGGGGGAUAAGAACAGUAGGAACGUGGCCCUCUUCGGAGGGUGUUAUAGCCUAUUGUACGAUACCUUGAUGGGGACCGAGGACCGCGCUUCGGCUAGGAUGUUGGCGUAAUGGUCAUUAGCGACCCGUCUUGAAACACGGACCAAGGAGUCGUCCAUUAGAGCGAGCGUUUGGGUGUAAAACCCGCACGCGUAAUGAAAGUGAAAUUAGGUGAGAGCUUCGGCGCAUCAUCGACCGAUCCUGAAGUUUACGGAUGGAUUUGAGUAAGAGUUUUAACGGACGGACCCGAAAGACAGUGAACUAUACUUGAAUAGGGUGAAGCCAGAGGAAACUCUGGUGGAGGCUCGCAGCGGUUCUGACGUGCAAAUCGAUCGUCAAAUUUGAGUAUGGGGGCGAAAGACUAAUCGAAC